CUUUGUGUGUGUUUUUCCAUGUUCAUCUAUUUAAUCAUUGCCACUGUUAAUUUGAUUGAAUUAUCAUAUUACAGUCACUAUGCAACUCGACACGUAUUG